rfam:Salmo salar isolate Sally breed double haploid chromosome ssa10, whole genome shotgun sequence.
UGUCUCAGUUGGUAGAGCAUGGUGUUUGCAACGCCAGGGUUGUGGGUUUGAUUCCCAC